rnacentral:snRNA from 1 species
GUGCCCGCUUCGGCAGCACAUAUACUAAAAAUUGGAACAAUACAGAAAAGAUUAGCAUGGCCCUGUGCAAGGAUGACAUGCAAAUUCAUGAAGCAUUCCAUUUAAAA